UACGAAGGGGGCUAGCGUUGCUCGGAAUGACUGGGCGUAAAGGGCGCGUAGGCGGCUGUGACAGUCAGAUGUGAAAUCCCUGGGCUCAACCCAGGAACUGCAUUUGAAACUCACUUUCUUGAGUACCGGAGAGGAAGGUGGAAUACCUGGUGUAGAGGUGAAAUUCGUAGAUAUCAGGUGGAACACCAGUGGCGAAGGCGGCCUCUGGACGGUAACUGACGCUGAGACGCGAAAGCGUGGGGAGCAAACAGG
rnacentral:rRNA from 1 species